AUAAAUAAAUUUUUUAUGGUUUUAAUAAUUUAUUUAAAAUUUAUUUUACAUAUAAAUUUUAGUGUUAAUUUUACUUUAUUUUAAUAAUAAUUUAAUUUAUUUGUAGUAAUUAAUAUUAAAUAAUUUAAGAAAUUAAGAUUUAGUAAUAUUUGAAUUAAUAACAAAUUUUGUGCCAGCAGUUGCGGUUAAACAAAAGUUAAUUUAAAUUUUAUUAGUAAUUAAUAAAUAAUUGAAAAUUUAUAAUAAUUUUAUUAUAAAUUAAAAUAAUAUAAAUUUUAAAUUAUUAGGUGAAAUUUUAAUUUAAUUUAAUAUUAUAAUGUAUUUAUGAUUUAAUAAAUUUUAUAAAAAACUAGGAUUAGAUACCCUAUUAUUAAAAUUUAAAUUGAAAAUACUAAAAUAGUAGGUAAUUAUUUAUUGAAACUUAAAUAAUUUGGCGGUAUUUUAGUUCAUUUAGAGGAAUCUGUUUAUUAAUUGAUAAUCCACGAAUAAAUUUACUUAAUUUUUUUAUUUUGUAUAUCGUUGUUAAAAAAAUAUUUUUUAAUAAUAAUAAUAUUUAAAAAUUUAAAUUGAAAAUUAAAUCAGAUCAAGAUGCAGAUUAUAAUUAAGAAUAUAAUGGAUUACAAUAAAUUUAUUUAAAUGGAUAUUAAUUUGUAAAAAUUAAUUAAAGGUGGAUUUAAAUGUAAUUUUAUUUAGUUUAAUAAAAUGAUUGAAAAUUGAAAUAUGUACAUAUUGCCCGUCGCUUUCAUAUAUUAAAAAUUGGAAUAAGUCGUAACAAAGUAGAGGUACUGGAAAGUGUUUCUAGAAAGAACAAA
rnacentral:ncRNA from 1 species